rnacentral:rRNA from 1 species
ACGUAGGGUGCAAGCGUUGUCCGGAAUUAUUGGGCGUAAAGAGCUCGUAGGCGGCUUGUCGCGUCUGCCGUGAAAACCCCAGGCUCAACCUGGGGCGUGCGGUGGGUACGGGCAGGCUAGAGUGCGGUAGGGGAGAUUGGAAUUCCUGGUGUAGCGGUGAAAUGGGCAGAUAUAGGGAGGAACACCAGUGACGAAGGCGGCUCUCUGGUCUGUAACUGACGCUGAGGCGCGAAAGCAUGGGUAGCAAACAG